AACGAACGCUGGCGGCAGGCCUAACACAUGCAAGUCGAACGCUGUAGCAAUACAGAGUGGCAGACGGGUGAGUAACACGUGGGAAUCUUCCUAUCGGUACGGAAUAGCUCAGGGAAACUUGGGGUAAUACCGCAUACGCCCUUCGGGGGAAAGAUUUAUCGCCGAUAGAUGAGCCCGCGUCUGAUUAGCUAGUUGGUGAGGUAAUGGCUCACCAAGGCGACGAUCAGUAGCUGGUCUGAGAGGAUGACCAGCCACACUGGGACUGAGACACGGCCCAGACUCCUACGGGAGGCAGCAGUGGGGAAUAUUGGACAAUGGGCGCAAGCCUGAUCCAGCCAUGCCGCGUGAGUGACGAAGGUCUUCGGAUUGUAAAGCUCUUUUGGCGGGGACGAUAAUGACGGUACCCGCAGAAUAAGCCCCGGCUAACUUCGUGCCAGCCGCCGCGGUAA
rnacentral:rRNA from 1 species